CCAAAGCAGUGUGGCUGCCUUCCUCCUGAGUCACUUAGUGAGAGGUUCAUGCCUGCCUGCUAAUCCCCUAGUCCUGCCUUCUGAGUUCCUGGGUAGCCGCCACAGACUGAGUGAGCUGAAUCAGAAGGACAAGAAGCAACAUAAAGUAUUUGACUCUCCCUCUUCCUUGAGACUGCAUGGUAUUCAUGCUUGGCAUAAGCAUCCUGCCAAAGCCCAGGAGAUCCUUUGAGGGAUGCAGUGUUGGGAUGCAGGACGAAGGCUUGCAUGAAACUCUGGCUCCAGGCCAUUCUAGUACAUUGUGACCUUGAAGAACUGUGGGCACACUAGACAUAUGCUACUACCCAAGGCCCCAUGCUGAUCCUUGAGAAGAGAGUAGGGCAAGUUAGCUAUUCUGUUGUGAGGAUACACAAGCAAUUUAUAAAGAGGCCCAUGUGGCAAUAAUGGAGAACUCUUGCCAACCCCAUGGAAUGGAGCCAUUCAGGAAACAGAGCUCAAGUCCAACUGUCAGAUGCCUGAAGCUCCUGCCAACACCUUGAGCUUACCACAGUGGAAUGAGAACCUGGACCGGGCCACCCAGGUAAGCUGACGCCAGGUCCCUGGGCUAAAUAAAAACUGAGACAAUACC
rnacentral:sRNA from 1 species